ACCUGAGUGGCUUAGUCGGUUGAGCAUCUGACUUUGGCUCAGGUCAUGAUCUCGUGGUUUGUGGGUUCAAUCCCUGCAUUGGGCU
rnacentral:tRNA from 1 species